GCAGUGAUGGUUCAGUGAUAGAAUUCCCGACUUCCAUGCAGGAGACCUGGGUUCGAUCCUAGCCAAUGCA
rnacentral:tRNA from 1 species